UGGAAAGGCGCGCGAUACAGGGUGACAGCCCCGUACACAAAAAUGCACAUGCUGUGAGCUCGAUGAGUAGGGCGGGACACGUGGUAUCCUGUCUGAAUAUGGGGGGACCAUCCUCCAAGGCUAAAUACUCCUGACUGACCGAUAGUGAACCAGUACCGUGAGGGAAAGGCGAAAAGAACCCCGGCGAGGGGAGUGAAAAAGAACCUGAAACCGUGUACGUACAAGCAGUGGGAGCACGCUUAGGCGUGUGACUGCGUACCUUUUGUAUAAUGGGUCAGCGACUUAUAUUCUGUAGCAAGGUUAACCGAAUAGGGGAGCCGAAGGGAAACCGAGUCUUAACUGGGCGUUAAGUUGCAGGGUAUAGACCCGAAACCCGGUGAUCUAGCCAUGGGCAGGUUGAAGGUUGGGUAACACUAACUGGAGGACCGAACCGACUAAUGUUGAAAAAUUAGCGGAUGACUUGUGGCUGGGGGUGAAAGGCCAAUCAAACCGGGAGAUAGCUGGUUCUCCCCGAAAGCU
rnacentral:rRNA from 1 species